rnacentral:rRNA from 1 species
CGCUGGCGGCAGGCCUAACACAUGCAAGUCGAGCGCGCCUUCGGGUGAGCGGCGGACGGGUUAGUAACGCGUGGGAACGUGCCCUUCUCUACGGAAUAGCCUCUGGAAACGGAGAGUAAUACCGUAUACGCCCUUUGGGGGAAAGAUUUAUCGGAGAAGGAUCGGCCCGCGUUAGAUUAGGUAGUUGGUGGGGUAACGGCCUACCAAGCCUACGAUCUAUAGCUGGUUUUAGAGGAUGAUCAGCAACACUGGGACUGAGACACGGCCCAGACUCCUACGGGAGGCAGCAGUGGGGAAUCUUAGACAAUGGGGGCAACCCUGAUCUAGCCAUGCCGCGUGAGUGAUGAAGGCCUUAGGGUCGUAAAGCUCUUUCGCCUGUGAUGAUAAUGACAGUAGCAGGUAAAGAAACCCCGGCUAACUCCGUGCCAGCAGCCGCGGUAAUACGGAGGGGUUAGCGUUGAAGCC